GACGAACCGUGCGAACGUUGUUCGGAUUCACUGGGCUUAAAGGGCGCGUAGGCGGGCGGUCACGUCGGGGGUGAAAUCUUUCAGCUUAACUGGAAAAGUGCCUCCGAUACUGGCGAUCUUUGAGUCCGGGAGAGGUGAGUGGAACUCCGAGUGUAGAGGUGAAAUUCGUAGAUAUUCGGAAGAACACCAGUGGCGAAGGCGGCUCACUGGCCCGGUACUGACGCUCAGGUGCGAAAGCGUGGGGAGCAAACAGG
rnacentral:rRNA from 1 species